CUGAUUCUGAUGAUGUACUAUAUAAAAGUAUUAAGCUCAACAUCGUCGGUUUGAAAACGUGUGAAGGGCGUUCGUCACUGUGGUCCAGCCACUUUUCGUUUGUAGGGUUUCGAGUCACAAUAUUCCCAUUCGGAUGACCUAAAAGCACUUUUAAUGAUUUAAGCACAGUUAAUUUAAGUGACGAACGCCCACGAACGCCCUUCACACGUUUUCAAACCGUCGAUGUUGAGCUUACUUCGGUACAUCGUCGGAAUCAGUAUUUACAUCCACGUUGUCUGCAGUACCUGUGCUAUUUCUUGAUGACGGGCCAGUGAGAUCAUCUUUCGUACUGCUGCUGAACAAGCACUGUACUUUUACGCGCAGAUUUCGAUUCAGUUCUAGACAUACUACCCAGAAAACAUCGCGGAGAACAAACGCGAUUUGAUUCAGUUUGGUUGAAUGGACUAGCGCCACGGUCAGCGUGUCAGGAAUUAACAGUUUACGCUUUCCUGAUGUUUCUACAUCUUUGGGCUGGUAAUGGUGUUGAAACUUCUCGUGUAGUACUGUAGUGUAUUAACAAAAGCCAACUUUCUCACAUAUAU